GAGGUAUAGACUGGCUGAAGACAGGAGUUAAUUCUGCAAAUAAUUUUGGGAGUCCCACUAAGUGCCUGGCACUAUUCCAAGCAUAGACGGCAUAGGAUUGCUGAAGCAUGCUUAGGGACACAGACAGCAGCAGGGUUUGUUGCAAGUGUUUGAUUAGUCACAGAGUCUGGCACAAGACAAGGGUGUUCACUAUUUCUUUGCUUCUCCCUCCCCUCCUCCUCCUCACCGUGAACUGUGCUAGGCUUGUGGGUACAAAAAUGAAGAAGCUAUCAUUUCCUCCCCCUUAAUUUCUUAAUAACCUAGAAGGUGAAAUAGACGUGUUACCUACAAUUUUUGUGUGUAUGAGCUAGAAGCUAGAAGGCCCCCAUCUUGGUUCCUCCUCCCUCACAACACUGGGGUGCUGCUGCUUACAAGUUACCCGAUAGGAAUGAAGGCUCAGGAAGGUCACAGGACUUGUCUCUGGCAUGCAGAUAGUAGAAGCAAAACCAGAUCCAAAGCAAGGGCAGUCUGACGCCGAGCUGAGUACCUCUGUCUUGAGAGGUGGGGCAGUGUUUGUCAAGUGAAUACUCACUCAUGGGAUGCGGGAACAAUGUCCAGAACAGUUGUACAAAGGAAAAGGGAGACGGCGAAGAGAGGGAACAGCAGAGGCUGUUUUCUGUGAAUGAGUUCUGCAGAGAAAGAGGACACAGACUCGGUCAGAGAUUCCAGACUCCGCAGAGCAUUGACUUGCCAGAUGAUGGUUUCCAAAUUGAAAGCUGAAAACCGGUUCCUUCUUUCCGGAGGAUUUGGGUCUAUUGUUCUUACUUUUACCGGAUGCCUAAAGGAUAAUCACUUCUUUGUUCUUGUACCAGGGAACACAUUUGGGAGAUGUGCUCAGAUCCACACUUGCCACAUUGUACACACCGUGUCGUACUGGGAAUGGGCACCUCUUGAGUGCACGCACAGUAAGUUUUCUUAUUCUGGCAACACCCCAGCAGACGUCUUCAGAGCCAGGGUUGCGUUACCUGAGGAGUCUAAGCUGAUGGAACAGCACCGUUCGCCUUUCCGGAUGCCCUCUUGCCCUGCCUUUCUCUUUUUCCUUCCUUUAUCUUUCUGUUGACGAUAGCCAGAAGCAGUUCCUUUUGCCUACAACCUGAAGCAACUUAAUGAAUGCAGUAUUAUAUUUAUGGCUUGCAGGCUUUUCCCACUUUCUAAUAUGUAAAGAACAUUUUCCCUAGUGAAUAGAUACAGGUGCAUGUUUUGGUUGCACAGUAUCCCCGUAUGUGGUUGUACUACAUUUAUAUAACUGGAAGGAAGUAAUUGUCAGCACUCAACUCUGAAACCAUUGCCUGGUGAUUAAAAGCUCUUCUUUUUGUCUUUUAUAGACAUUCCUGCAGCAAAUAUUAUUACAUAUGCAUUUCUUUCUAUUUAUUAUUACUUAUGACAAAUCUCUAGAAGUGAAAUUAAUAAAUCAAGGGUUGUACAACUUAAAAUAUUAUGU
rnacentral:lncRNA from 1 species